rnacentral:rRNA from 1 species
GUGGGGAAUUUUGGACAAUGGGCGCAAGCCUGAUCCAGCCAUUCCGCGUGCAGGAUGAAGGCCUUCGGGUUGUAAACUGCUUUUGUACGGAACGAAAAGCCUCUGGUUAAUACCCGGGGGUCAUGACGGUACCGUAAGAAUAAGCACCGGCUAACUACGUGCCAGCAGCCGCGGUAAUACGUAGGGUGCGAGCGUUAAUCGGACUUACUGGGCGUAAAGCGUGCGCAGGCGGUGAUGUAAGACAGUUGUGAAAUCCCCGGGCUCAACCUGGGAACUGCAUCUGUGACUGCAUUGCUGGAGUGCGGCAGAGGGGGAUGGAAUUCCGCGUGUAGCAGUGAAAUGCGUAGAUAUGCGGAGGAACACCGAUGGCGAAGGCAAUCCCCUGGGCCUGCACUGACGCUCAUGCACGAAAGCGUGGGGAGCAAACAGGAUUAGAUACCCGUGUAGUCC